UACGUAGGGGGCAAGCGUUGUCCGGAUUUAUUGGGCGUAAAGGGUGCGCAGGCGGUCUUUUAAGUCAGAUGUGAAAGCUCACGGCUCAACCGUGGUAAGCAUUUGAAACUGGAAGGCUUGAGUUAAGGAGAGGAAAGUGGAAUUCCUAGUGUAGCGGUGAAAUGCGUAGAUAUUAGGAGGAAUACCAGUGGCGAAGGCGACUUUCUGGACUUAUACUGACGCUGAGGCACGAAAGCGUGGGGAGCAAACAGGAUUAGAUACCCUGGUAGUCCACGCCGUAAACGAUGAGCGCUAGGUGUUGGGGGUCAAACCUCGGUGCCGCAGCUAACGCAUUAAGCGCUCCGCCUGGGGAGUACGUACGCAAGUGUGAA
rnacentral:rRNA from 1 species